UUGAGAACCUGUUAUUUGUCAGUCACAGGCUUAAAGAGACAAAUAUGUCCCUUGCCCUAUUUUACAUUAAAUUAGCAAAGUCAGAGUAUAAAAUAAAUACAAAGUGUGGCAGGAAGACUAAAGGAAAUAAGAAGGGGAGGAAAUAAACAUGUUUGUGGGAAAGGGGAGGCCUUGCUCUGUAGGAUGGUUAGAUAAAAGCCUUUCUGAGAGGGAGACAUCUAAGCUGAGAGCUGAGACCCACGCAAUGUGAAAGAGCUGACCUUGCAAAAAAGAAGAAAGUGUUACCGGCAGAAGAGACAGCAUGUGCAAAGGCCCUGAGACAGAAAGACUCCUUUCUAUUCAAGAAACUGGAAGAAGACUGGUGUGGCUGGAGUGUGAUGAGGGAGCGAGGAAUGGCGCUUAAAUCUUAAAUUGCGGAGAAGGGUGAGCGAGAGGAGCGUGCGAGCACACAAUUGGGCAGCCCAGGAAGACCCCAGAGCCCAGAUAACAUGGAAACCCCGCGCAAAGGCGAGGGCCUGCUGGGGGCGCUCAAGAGCAGUCUCGAGACACCCCCUCCACCCUCGCCGCUACCCCCGUGCCGCUGCGGUUCGCCCUCUGGUCCCUCUCCGGGGCGGGAGCCCCAACCCCAGCCCAGGACCCCAGGCUGAUGGCUAGGUCGAGAACGCCUCUCUUCCACCCCUGGCCCCUCGCUCGGGGCAGGCCGGUCGUGGGCCCAUAGCCCCGCGCCCGUGGUCGGGAGCGCGGCCGCGGGUAGCGCCCCUGGUCUCCGCGGUCCGCGACGUCCGGGAUGCUGUGCGCUUGCCCCGCCGCAGAACCCCAUCCUCGACAUCCCUCAGCCGAAACUGGGGCGUCCUCCCGACCCAAGGUCCCCCCGACUCACCGAGGGUUUGGGGCCGAGCCUUGGGCCAUCUCCGCCUGCGGAGAGCGGGAACGGGGGUCCCGGGCUGGAAGAAGCGCCCCGGCACUGGGCUUCCUCGUGGUGCGCCCGCAGCCUCCUGCCGAGCUGGGCAGGGCUCAUCCUCCCGCCGCCCUUUCUCUUUUACUGCUGGGUCUUGCUGGGACCCACAGCCGUGCAGAAGGGGAGAAGGCAGCCCAAGAACGCUGGGCAAAGCUCAGUGCGCGCACCCGGCGGGAGACGCGGGCACGCAGGUCCUUGGGAUCCUCUGGAACCCUCUGGAAUCCCAGGCUGCCCCUGCAGGGAGAACCUCGGAGCUGCCAAGCACCUGCAGAGGCGGAUUCGCUUGAAGACCAAGAUCCCCGACGGCAAGUCGCGGGGUGUCGAUUACUCUACUUUGAAUUCCUUCCUCCUCGGCGCCCUCCUCCCCAACACACCCACGGGAGAUCCUUGAGGAAGCCCGGGCCAGCCAGUCCACGUGGGCCGGCAGCAGGGCCGGGGAGGGACCUGACUGCCACCAGGAAAGGCGGGGCCGCAGUGUGUGCAGAAACCGCCUGGCGCCCGGGCCGCGGACCCUGGCCUUUCGCAGUCAGGCCGGCCCGCGACUAUUCUAGAGCCGCUGGUGGCGCAGAGCGUCCGCUCACAGGGCUUUGCCGUCCUAAGAAGGGCUGUGGGCCAGUCUCUCCCUCCUACCCGGUCCUUUAUUUCCUUGUCCGUACCAGCCCCUGUGGGUAAGUCAUCCUCCCGCGCAGAGGACAGUAUCUGCUCCGAGGGGACGCAGUUCUGCAGCUCUUCGUUCUCCGCAAGCGGUACAGUUGGCUCCAGGCACGGGGACCUUGGAGGCUCCUCCCAGCCCGGGCAGCCGCCCUCUGGGCCCUGCUCUGGCUGCUUAUUAUCUCCUCAGGUGUCCAAGGCUGGGUUGCAAAGGAAGACAAGCCCCUAAGAACAAAAAGUGAAAAUGUGUUGAUUCCAGCCCGUUGACUGCACUCCAGUAUGAAGUCCAAAUGGGAAAAUUGCCCAC
ensembl:lncRNA